rnacentral:rRNA from 1 species
UAGGGAAUCUUCGGCAAUGGGGGGAACCCUGACCGAGCAACGCCGCGUGAGUGAAGAAGGUUUUCGGAUCGUAAAGCUCUGUUGUUAAGGAAGAACGAGUGUGAGAAUGGAAAGUUCAUACUGUGACGGUAUCUAACCAGAAAGCCACGGCUAACUACGUGCCAGCAGCCGCGGUAAUACGUAGGUGGCAAGCGUUGUCCGGAUUUAUUGGGCGUAAAGCGAGCGCAGGCGGUCAAUUAAGUCUGAUGUGAAAGCCCCCGGCUCAACCGGGGAGGGUCAUUGGAAACUGGUUGACUUGAGUGCAGAAGAGGAGAGUGGAAUUCCAUGUGUAACGGGGAGAUGCGUAGAUAUAUGGAGGAACACCAGUGGCGAAGGCGACUCUCUGGUCUGUAACUGACGCUGAGGCUCGAAAGCGUGGGUAGCAAACAGG